GACGUAGGGGGCCAGCGUUGUUCGGAAUUACUGGGUGUAAAGGGUUCGUAGGCGGUGUGGCAAGUCGGGAGUGAAAUCUCUGGGCUCAACCCAGAGUCUGCUUCCGAAACUGCUGUGCUUUGAGUGUGGGAGAGGCGCGUGGAAUUGCAGGUGUAGCGGUGAAAUGCGUAGAUAUCUGCAGGAACACCCGUGGCGAAAGCGGCGCGCUGGACCACUACUGACGCUGAGGAACGAAAGCUAGGGGAGCAAACAGG
rnacentral:rRNA from 1 species